rnacentral:tRNA from 1 species
GGCGGCCCUGGCCGGGAUCGGGCGCGGCGCCGGUGCCGGUGCCCAGGUCCGGCGCGGCGCCGGGCUCCGCGGUGCGGAACCGCCAGGCCGCCACC